AACGAACGCUGGCGGCAGGCUUAACACAUGCAAGUCGAGCGCCCCGCAAGGGGAGCGGCAGACGGGUGAGUAACGCGUGGGAAUCUACCCAUCACUACGGAACAACUCCGAGAAACUGGAGCUAAUACCGUAUACGUCCUUCGGGAGAAAGAUUUAUCGGUGAUGGAUGAGCCCGCGUUGGAUUAGCUAGUUGGUGGGGUAAUGGCCUACCAAGGCGACGAUCCAUAGCUGGUCUGAGAGGAUGAUCAGCCACACUGGGACUGAGACACGGCCCAGACUCCUACGGGAGGCAGCAGUGGGGAAUAUUGGACAAUGGGCGAAAGCCUGAUCCAGCCAUGCCGCGUGAGUGAUGACGGCCCUAGGGUUGUAAAGCUCUUUCGCAGGUGAAGAUAAUGACGGUAACCUGAGAAGAAGCCCCGGCUAACUUCGUGCCAGCAGCCGCCGUAAAAC
rnacentral:rRNA from 1 species